UGCAAACUCAACACAGAGGAGGCCAGAUUUGAACCAGAGUCCUCAGAACUGUGAAGGAGAUGUGCAGUCAUGCGUCCAUGUCACGCACGCACACACAAACACACAGAUUUUGCGUGUCACUUUCUGUCACUUAUAUUAUACCGGUACUAAAAAUACCCCAAAAAGUUACAUUGUAUAAUUAAAAACAAAGCUAUUACUGAUCCAUUUGUCAAGAUCUUUGAUUAUUUUGUCACUUUUGUGACAUUUAAAAUGUUAACUUCAGGAUAAGAGUCAACACUGGGACAGUUUCACCUGAGUGGCAGAGAUUUGAAAAGGGAAUUGUCAACAGGUAUAUGGUAUUGGUGAUCCUUUUUGCCUUAAGCAUGAACAUGGUGGCAAAAGUAGUUGAAGCUGAGUGUAGUGGUCCCUUAUCUAAAUCAGGAAUUUUCCAUCCAUCCAUCCAUCCAUCCAUCCAUCGUUCUUCUUCUGCUUAUCCGGGGUUGGGUCCACAACAUAUGUACCAGGCUGGAAGUGUCAUGAACGGAACAGAGAAUAGGACCCAAAAAUGCACGACUCCAAAACAAAUGGACAGUUUCCAAAAAGAGAGGUUUAAUAGACGGGCAUAGGUCGGUACACAGGCAGGCAAUCCAAGAAAGGCAACAGUAUCCAAAAACAUGAGGCAAAGAGGCAAGGUCGAUAAUCGGAACAGGGUCAAGUCUUACUGUGAGUCUGUGACGUGGAAACAAGGAAUGCUGGAACGCGACGACAAGGUACAACGAACUGGCAACGAGAGGGAAUGAGACACAAGGUUAAAUACAAGGGGUAAUUAGGGUGAACGAGGCACAGGUGGUGAAGAUGCUCACAGGAGCAGGUGUGUGUGAAACAGGGGGGAAGACAAAACCCGGAACACACACACACACACACAUGACAGGAAGUGGCUGCUGAAAGGCUUGGAGAAGCUCAUUCCAUGGACCCAAAUGAGUUUCAAAUCAAUGAAAUCCAGGUCCUUAAUGCUGAGGAAAGGAGGCUCUGGGUCAAGUGUCAUCAGGAAGGGCAGGUCUAUGGUGUAUUCCAUCAACCAUUCCAACUAUGGACAGCUGCAGCAGAAGAAUCAGGCAUCAGGUGAUCCAACAGGAAGUGAGAGCAGGUGUGGAGGAAGAGCAGGCUAUAAGUGCAGUGAGAAUGAAACAAGGAGCGUGGACACGGUGAGAUCAGGGAGUGGAGCGCAGGAUAUCUUGGCGGGACUUGUGGUGUGCUAAACCACAGCGGAUCAAGUUUCUCGUCCGUGUAAGAUAGACAUGUCAAGCUCCCAGCCAGCGGGCCACUUCCGAUCCGCGCAGCAAUUUUGUCCGGCCUGCAGGAUCAAUUUGAAGUCAGCAUGACAUUGGCCCUCCCAACGGCAUCAGCCAAACAUAUGCACAUAAUUCUACAAGCAGCGUCUUCUGAUUUGUAUGAAUUAUGCAUUAGCCUACUCAGUGUUGGGGAAGUGGGGAUACGACAGUCGGCUAAUCGGGUACCAGUUUCAAAGGAGCCACAUGGCUACUGAUGCAUCCCCUCGGGCAUUUUAAGUACUAGUAAUUGUACCUGCUAAUUUUGGAACCUGCGUUUGUUGUCGAUUAAAUGAAGAUGCAUUCCUGAAAAA